rnacentral:rRNA from 1 species
AUACGGAGGAUCCGAGCGUUAUCCGGAUUUAUUGGGUUUAAAGGGUGCGCAGGCGGCCAUUUAAGUCAGCGGUUAAAUCGUGGGGCUCAACCCCAUUCUGCCGUUGAUACUGGGUGGCUUGAUUGCGGUCGAGGUUGGCGGAAUUCGUUGUGUAGCGGUGAAAUGCAUAGAUAUGACGAAGAACACCGAUUGCGUAGGCAGCUGACCAGACCGCAAAUGACGCUCAUGCACGAAAGUGCGGGGAUCGAACAGGAUUAGAUACCCUGGUAGUCCGCACAGUAAACGAUGAAUACUUGUUUUCGGCGAUAUAAUGUCGGAGGCAAAGCGAAAGCGAUAAGUAUUCCACCUGGGGAGUACGCCGGCAACGGUGUAACUCAAAUGAAUUGACGGGG